GGAGGCUUCGCCUAGUCUGGUCUAUGGCGCCGCACUGCUAAUGCGGUUUGGGUCUUAAAGCCCAUCGAGGGUUCAAAUCCCUCAGCCUCCG
rnacentral:tRNA from 4 species